CUCCGCUCCACAAAUGAAUGUAGCAAUUUGUUGUGCUGAAAAAGGCAAAGCGAGAUGAAAUUUAUCGCAAUUCUACUGAUUCUUCCUGUGCAAGGGUUGUCCCCGUGCAUGGCACAACAGUCCUUCCAAGAAGCGUUGACGGGAUAUGUGAGGAGCUGCCUUGCGAACUGCCUCGGCUUGAAAAGUGGAAAAGUUUGUAACGUGGAUUACAAAACUGGAGGAAGCCCGGACGAGGAUUGUGCUGUGACGAGGCCAUUUCAACAGACCUUUCGCGUCUCAGACCAGAAAAUCAUGCUUUGCAGUUUACACAGAGACCCUAAUGAGUACCUCAGAAUCAGGACGAUGGUGGAUUUGAACUUGUGCACGCAUUUUACUUUCGGAUCCUGGCAUUGGUACAGCUCAAAAGAAAUUAAGUUUUAUCCGAACAGAAACGUUAUAAGUUACAAAU